UGGGGAAUAUUGCACAAUGGGCGAAAGCCUGAUGCAGCAACGCCGCGUGAGUGAUGAAGGCCUUCGGGUUGUAAAGCUCUGUCUUUUGGGACGAUAAUGACGGUACCAAAGGAGGAAGCCACGGCUAACUACGUGCCAGCAGCCGCGGUAAUACGUAGGUGGCAAGCGUUGUCCGGAUUUACUGGGGCGUAAAGGAUGCGUAGGCGGAUUUUUAAGUGAGAUGUGAAAUACCCGGGCUUAACUUGGGUGCUGCAUCUCAAACUGGGAAUCUAGAGUGCGGGAGAGGAGAAUGGAAUUCCUAGUGUAGCGGUGAAAUGCGUAGAGAUUAGGAAGAACACCAGUGGCGAAGGCGAUUCUCUGGACCGUAACUGACGCUGAGGCAUGAAAGCGUGGGUAGCAAACAGGAUUAGAUACCCUGGUAGUCCACGCCGUAAACGAUGAGUACUAGGUGUAGGAGGUAUCGACCCCUUCUGUGCCGCAGUUAACACAAUCAAGUACUCCGCCUGGGAAGUACGAUCGCAAGAUUAAAACUUAAAUGAAUUGACGGGGUCAUAGC
rnacentral:rRNA from 1 species